AGGUAGGAGCACAGCCUGCUUGACCAACUUUAUCACGUGACUGACAGCAGGUAUAAAGCCACCCUCUCUGUAGGCUGUGGGAUUCCAGAGAGAAAAGCAAAGGGACAAACUGUGGCAGCAAGUCCACUUCAUACUUGCAAACCAACUCCCUGAAGUGAAGAAAGCCCUGGCUUUGUUUCUGUUCUCAGUCUGUAAGCCUGAUGUCUCCCUCCAUCAGAGGUUUUUCAUCUGGAUUAGGACCAUCCUCAACACACUAGGAAACAUAUCUCUGGUUGGGAAGAUUCAUCUGUGGAGAUAGAGUUCAGCCAGUGCAGGAAACUUUCUUCUCUCAGAGGAUGAGAAUGACAACAACAAUACAUAAACAUUCUGACGGAGAUCUGGAAAUGAAAUAGCAACAUCUGGGCUACUAGUUUCUCAAGCUGCCAUUUUCUGGGGAAUUGUGCUCAGUGCCACCUAAUUGCCAGCUCUGCUCAUUUCUUAAGGUUGGCCACCAUUUGGACUGGGACUCAAAGGCAACCAUUCUGAACUAUGCCAGUGGUAUAAUAAAAUGCUAAUAGAUGCAAAUUAUGCGUGAUCUUUAAUGCAUACUAAAG